AAAAUCCAUGGAAUCCGCCGUUUUCCUUCAUCCGCCAUUUCUCUGAAGAUCAAAAGGAAAAUCUACCCAAAAAAAAGACAUUACAAAAAGACAAAAUACAAAGCAGCAAAAAGACUCUAGACCCGAGAAUGAAGAGACAGUAGAUUAACGCCUAAGGAAAAGGGCUGGAAAAACACCGCCGUAACUUCUUCUUCCACCCAACUUAGCUUCUUUUUCCUCCAUCCCAGAAAAAUACAGCAGCUUCACCACCUUUAAACCACCAAUAAAACUCCAUUUUUGUCCAAGAGAGUAACCUGAAAACUCCAUGAAAACUAGCUAAGAUUCCAGCUCAAACACCAUACCGGAACAACCUCCUAAAAAACGCAGCAAAGACCAGCUGCAAAUAGCCCACAAAGCCAGCUGAAAAAGCAGCUGCAAAAUCAGCGAAAACACUUGAAACAAUUCCCAAAAAAUGCAGCUGCGUCACACCUUGAAACAGUCCGAAUUUUCAGCCAGAAACACAAACAAAAUCAGCUUGAGAAACCCCACGAAAACAGCCCUCUUUCAUUCCUAUUAGCGUCGAGUUCGAGUUCGCCGAUGAGGUUUCCGGUCGUGAGUCUGUUGCGGUUUGUAGCUGUUGUUUAAACUUCUAUGGAGUUCCUCUAUUAUGUUAAAGAUGGUUUUACAUUAAUGAAGUUCGGGUUCGAGGUUCCGCUCAAGGAAUCCGCUCGUAGGUCCGAUUGGUAGUAGCUCGUUUCAUUUUUGGGAAAAGCUCCUUUUGAGAACCUUCAAUUUACUACAUUAGCAACAACUGUAGUAUUCUACGCAAGGCAAAGAAGAAAGAAGAAGAUGCAUUCUGUGAAGGAGAAAGUAAGCAACGCAGUGGAGAAAGCAGCAGCAAGGACAAAGGAAGAG